GAUGAACGCUGGCGGCGUGCCUAAUACAUGCAAGUCGAGCGAAUGGAUUAAGAGCUUGCCCUUAUGAAGUUAGCGGCGGACGGGUGAGUAACACGUGGGUAACCUGCCCAUAAGACUGGGAUAACUCCGGGAAACCGGGGCUAAUACCGGAUAACAUUUUGAACCGCAUGGUUCGAAAUUGAAAGGCGGCUUCGGCUGUCACUUAUGGAUGGACCCGCGUCGCAUUAGCUAGUUGGUGAGGUAACGGCUCACCAAGGCAACGGUGCGUAGCCGACCUGAGAGGGUGAUCGGCCACACUGGGACUGAGACACGGCCCAGACUCCUACGGGAGGCAGCAGUAGGGAAUCUUCCGCAAUGGACGAAAGUCUGACGGAGCAACGCCGCGUGAGUGAUGAAGGCUUUCGGGUCGUAAAACUCUGUUGUUAGGGAAGAACAAGUGCUAGUUGAAUAAGCUGGCACCUUGACGGUACCUAACCAGAAAGCCACGGCUAACUACGUGCCAGCAGCCGCGGUAA
rnacentral:rRNA from 1 species